GCGACGUGCUGGCCAGCAGCCGGGGUAAUAGGAAGGGGGCGGGCGUUGGUCGGAAUCACGGUGCUGAAAGGGUGCGUAGGCGGGGCUUGAAUGCAGGUGUGAAAUCCUGGAGCUCAACUCCAGAACUGCCUUUGAGGCUGAGGAGCUUGAGGUCGGGAGAGGUGAGUGGAACUGCGAGUGUAGAGGUGAAAUUCGUAGAUAUUCGCAAGAACACCAGUGGCGAAGGCGGCUCACUGGCCCGAUACUGACGCUGAGGCACGAAAGCGUGGGGAGCAAACAGGAUUAGAUACCCCAGUAGUC
rnacentral:rRNA from 1 species